rnacentral:rRNA from 1 species
GCAUAACGCGAAGAACCUUACCAAGGCUUGACAUCCCCUUGACCGGCACAGAGAUGUGCCCUCUCCUUCGGGAGCAAGGGUGACAGGUGGUGCAUGGUUGUCGUCAGCUCGUGUCGUGAGAUGUUGGGUUAAGUCCCGCAACGAGCGCAACCCUUAUCCUUAGUUGCCAGCAUUAAUGGUGGGCACUCUAAGAAGACUGCCGAUGAUAAAUCGGAGGAAGGUGGGGAUGACGUCAAAUCAUUAUGCCCCUUAUGUCUUGGGCUACACACGUGCUACAAUGGUCGGUACAACGGGCAGCGAAGGAGCGAUCCGGAGCGAAUCCCAAUAAACCGAUCCCAGUUCGGAUUGUAGGCUGCAACUCGCCUACAUGAAGUCGGAGUUGCUAGUAAUCGCGAAUCAGAACGUCGCGGUGAAUGCGUUCCCGGGUCUUGUACACACCG